rnacentral:rRNA from 1 species
UACGUAGGGGCUAGCGUUGUCCGGAAUCAUUGGGCGUAAAGAGCGUGUAGGCGGCCCGGUAAGUCCGCUGUAAAAGUCAAAGGCUCAACCCUUUGAAUGUCAGUGGAUACUGCCGGGCUAGAGUCCGGAAGAGGCGAGUGGAACUCCUGGUGUAGCGGUGGAAUGCGCAGAUAUCAGGAGGAACACCAAUGCGAAGGCAGCUCGCUGGGACGUGACUGACGCUGAGACGCGAAGCGUGGGAGCAAACAG